ACUAGUUAAGCUUCAAAAACACACCUAGAGAUCACUGUUAUGGAUGAAAGGGCUUAGAAUUUUGGCAACAUAAAGUCCAUAACAGUUUUGGGAAAACACGCUCGAAACUACACCUCAAGAUGUAUGUCAUAACGAUCUAUUAAAUGAAACGAGUAAUGAGUUUGAAAGGAAAUGAGAUAAGGCCCGUGAGUUUACUGUCAUGACCAAAUUACAGCUAUAAGACAUCCUUCAAAACAAUAGGUAGGAUUCUUGGAGAAGUUCGUG
rnacentral:lncRNA from 1 species